rnacentral:rRNA from 1 species
CUGCCAGACUCCUACGGGAGGCAGCAGUGGGGAAUAUUGCACAAUGGGGGGAACCCUGAUGCAGCGACGCCGCGUGGGUGAAGGAGUACCUCGGUACGUAAAGCCCUAUCAGCAGGAAAGAAAAUGACGGUACCUGACUAAGAAGCCCCGGCUAACUACGUGCCAGCAGCCGCGGUAAUACGUAGGGGGCAAGCGUUAUCCGGAUUUACUGGGUGUAAAGGGAGCGUAGACGGCAGUGCAAGUCCGGAGUGAAAGCCCGGGGCUCAACCCUGGGACUGCUCUGGAAACUGUAAAGCUGGAGUGCGGGAGGGGCAGGCGGAAUUCCUGGCGUAGCGGUGAAAUGCGUAGAUAUCAGGAGGAACACCGGCGGCGAAGGCGGCCUGCUGGACCGUAACUGACGUUGAGGCUCGAAAGCGUGGGGAGCAAACAGGAUUAGAUACCCGUGUAAG